ACUUUGCCCUCCUUCAGGAAGCAGCAUUACAAAAUGACAACUGGAAAGACGCCAGGAGACCUGAAACGUCCAGAAAUGCAGAAAACGAGGAGAACAUGACUGCCUUUCUUCUGUUAAUCAGUGACUGCUGAGAGAGCAAAACCCUCCAGGUUCCCACAUUGCCGAGAACUCAAAGGCAAAUCACAGCGUUGGAAAACACUCUCAUCACUACACCGAGAGCCUUCCAAUGGAGACUUAACAGAAUGCCAACUGCAGCAACAGAAGGAAAAACUUGGGUAGCAAGAAAGCGCGUCCAUAUUCUUCCGUUCAGUUAUAAUGAGGGGUUUGAAGGUAUCAGAUCCUGCCCGG
rnacentral:lncRNA from 1 species